AUCGCUUCUCAGCCUUUUGGCUACGAUCAAGUGUAGUAUCUGUUGUCAUCAGUUUAAUAUCUAAAACGUCCCUGGGGAACAUAUAUUACUGUACAUGCAUUUUAUGAGAACCGGGGGGCGAUUUCGAAAGUUGCUUCCAUCAUCCUACACAUUGACGCUAUAUGGCAGUAUCUUUGGGUACAGUACACAAAAA